AGGACACAGCACGGCCCACACGGUGGACAGGUGGCCGGGGGCCCCUUUCCCCCUCUAGCGCACACCCCCCUCACCGGCACCAGGCAGUGGGGAGGGGGUCCCAGGUUCCCUGACAGAGGGAGGCAGGGCACGGGGGAGCCGGCCUCGCCCAGCGGACGGCAUGGGCCGGGGCAGACAGCAGAGCGGGGACCCUAGGGCCACAGACCGGUACAGGGUUCCACCACCCGGGGACACAGGCCCAAGCACCGUGCCACUAAGAUGGGGUCUGCAGAGGCAAAGCCUUGCUGCAGCCUCUCCCACUCUGCGAGGAUGGCGGGGGUCUGCUAUGUGGUUUGCGGGGGUUAUCCUGGUAUGCGGGAGCUGCCUUCCAAUAAGGCUGGGGAACCCAAGCCUGAGUCUGGGUGCUCAGUGGCUGAGAGCACCGGUGUGGGCUGGGAGGGCACACGCAGAGGCUCAGGAGCCCUGGGCUCUGUUCUGCUUCUGUCUGCUCUCUAUAGACACGGUGAUGGCCUCUUGGUCCCUGCAGCCUCCAGUGAUGGCAGCCUGGGCCCCUGACAGGGAGCAGUGGGAGGUUGGAGCAUGUGGUGACUCCUAGCAUGGGCCCCCACCCAGUGGGCAACCCCUCACCCACCUGCUGAUGGCAGGGAGGGGCAGCUGAACAGCACCCUGGGUGGCUGUGAGACUGCCUCCCAGCCCACGUGGGAACCACGGCCUCAAGAGCCACAGGCUGAGCUGCCGGGAGGGUGGGCUGAGGGGCCACCACUGGUCACCGGGUGGAUUCUGCUGGUCAGAGAUGAGAGCAGAAGCCCCUAGCUGCCCCAGGCACUGGAGGGUGGGGCAGGGAGCUGGUGCUUCAAGAAUUGAGGGCAGGGACACGACAAACUCAGGGCCCUGCAGUGCUGGCUGGGGAAGCAAGCUUUUACACACGGCCCGCCUUGCUCGGAGGUGCCACGGUGUUUGAAAUGAAGCCUGGGGGGACAGACUCAGGCAGGCAGGGGAAGCUCCUUUCUGGGCACCCCUGGACCCCAGUGGGGCCGGAAGGAGAUGCAGACAGGCCUCCUCACAACCACCCGCAACGCGUUCGGAUGCCCCUCAGCUCCAGGCACC
rnacentral:lncRNA from 1 species